rnacentral:rRNA from 1 species
UACAGAGGGUGCAAGCGUUGUUCGGAAUUACUGGGCGUAAAGGGCGCGUAGGCGGCCUUCUAAGUCGAACGUGAAAUCCCCGGGCUCAACCCGGGAACUGCGUCCGAGACUGAAAGGCUUGAAUCCGGGAGAGGGAUGUGGAAUUCCAGGUGUAGCGGUGAAAUGCGUAGAUAUCUGGAGGAACAUCGGUGGCGAAGGCGGCAUCCUGGACCGGCAUUGACGCUGAGGCGCGAAAGCCAGGGGAGCAAACGGG